GGCAUGUUAUAAUUUAAUAGAGGGAGGGGAAUUUCACCCCUCUGAAUUUACUUGUCCUUGUUUUUAUCUUUCUUGCGUAAUGUUAUCAGCGCUACUGCAAGAGUGAUAAUUUCGAGGACUGUUUUUAUUUCCUCUAAAACAUCCUUCACU
rfam:Listeria phage LP-101, complete genome.